rnacentral:lncRNA from 1 species
AAAACCCAAAGUUAAUUAAAAGGUUAGUAAGAAAUUGUGUACUAACUUUUCCAAGGCAUUGAAACCAAUCUUUUUAAAAAGAUAUUUUUUACACUGAAAUCUUCACAGAGCACAAGUUAUUGUUAGAAAUAUAAGGGAUGACCCAAAGGAUCAUAUAUAGAUAAUGGAGGCUGAUACUCUAAGUUUUACAUGAAAAAAGAAAUAUUAAUAUGUUGAUUCCAUGUUUCAGCAGCAACAUCUAUGAGUCAGUUCUAAAAUUUGACUGUUCUUAGACUGGGUGAAUUAACCAUUUACAGGUGAGUCCAAACCCUCCCUCAGAACACAUGUGUAUACAAAUGUACCUAAGACAAACAUUUGUUCUCACUGCUAUGCAAUAUCAUAUCUGUUUGUGUUAAAUUAGUUGAAAUUAGUGGGUUGAGGCACUGUUCUUGUAUUCACAAGAACUGGUCCUGUUGGCGUCUUCCUCUGUGACAAUCUUUCUGUACCAUAGUCUUGACCACAGUGAAAUGGUUGUAAUAAAACAUAUCCUAUAUAAUUCACAUAAUAACUAAUAUGGAGCAGUAGAACAGUGGUAAACAACCAGCCCACCAAACUUGGUAUAAAAUAUCAUGAUAUAGGGAAUAAAAUUUUAAAUAGAAAGUAACAUUCCAUGGGCAUGUACUGUAGAUCAGUCAUUGUGUUAAGCAUUGCAUAUAUUAUAUGUAACAUAUCAUUUAUCCUCACAAAAUUCCUGUGAGAUAGAUACUAUUUCUGAUGGGUAGCUAGGCAAUCUGAAAUGUUAAGACUCCAAAAUUCAUAAAAAUCCAAACAGGUGUAAGGCAUCAAACCUAGUACAAAUUAUUUCAGAUUUUGAAAGAGACACUGUGCUUCUGGCUUUAAAGAUGGAGAAGGGACCACAAAACUGUAAUAAAAUACACUUAUGUUGUUUUAAGCUACAAAGUUCAUGGUCCCUAAUUUUAGUAGUUAUAAGUAGUAUAAGAUGAAUGAUAUUGAGAUAUCUGAAAUCUGAAGGAGAGAAAAAUGGGAAUCUACUGCAAUCUCAAAAACUUCCCAGAGAAGAUGAUACACCAGCAGACUACCGAUGAUUAUUCUGCUCCUUCAGCCAGAUCCUCAGUGGAAAUGAUGACACAGGGCAACCAGGCCCUCACUGGUACUUGGUAUAAAAUAGAUACUCGGUAAGCGUUUAUUGUUGACUGAAUGUAGGCGUACAGACCACAUGGACUGUUACAAUAUAGCUGACCCUUCUGAUGCCAACACAGAGAAAUUCUGGAUAAAAUAUAAAAGUAAAUAGAGAGUUGAGCUGAAACUCAAGAAUUGGAAAUUCCGGUACCAGAAAUGCAGCAGAAACUUGAAGCUAGAACAAUCAGCUUACAUUCCAACAGCAAUAUAUGUCUAAAUCAUCAUAAUGUGAUGCUGGAGUUUUAAUGCUCAUUCGGGGACAGAAGAUGUGACACGGGUUUAAAAUGACCCUUGGAGAAAGUUUGAAUUCUGGCAAAGUUGCUCCUCAGAUAAAGAGAACUUAAAAAUCUCUGAUCUUCUCUUAAGGAAGUGAUAAGAAAGAUGGUCUCUGCUUUAAAAUUUUAAAAGUCUGCUGAAAGAAUUUGAAAGUGCAAGCCAGGCCCUCCUGUGGAUCUAUAUUCCAAACCUACAGUUCCCACGUAGUAGGAGACCCUCUUAAGUUGAGAAAUUAAUGGAAAAAACUGUGGUUCUGGACAAAUGAAACCGCUGAAGUGUUCAGCAGAAGAAAUCACACAACUUUUCUCUAUUGACACUGCCUCACCUCAUAGCCAGUGUAAUUACCAUUAAUAAAACAAUUACAUCAAAGUUGAACUCACAACAAUAAAUGACAAACUGCAUGAGGAAAUGCUCCACCAGGAAGGAGAUUUAGCACAUAUGACAAAUGGCAGGAUUAGCAUAUGAAGAAUUGGGGGGGGGGAGAAAAACUGAAUAAUUCGGGAGAAAAUACAAAAUGUACAUGUUCCAGACGACAAAGUAGUGGGUGAAUUGAACAGCAGAUUUUUCAUGGCUGAGGAGGGAACUGGUGAGUUAAAAAGUAGGUAGAAUACAAACUAGAAAGAAAAUGUAUGGGAUAUAUGAAAAAAAUUGGGAUAUGGAGGAUAGAAAAAACAGCUCAAUUUAUAUACCCUCAGAAGGAGAUGAUACAAAGAACGAAGAAGAGGCAAUAUGGGGAGAUACAAUGGUUAAAAUUUUUAAAAAAUAAUGAAAGACUCAAAUCUUCAUAUUUAAAGAAGCAUCCAAAUUCUAAGCAACAUAAAGAAAAAUUGUUCUAGGUACCUUUUAGUUAAACUGUAGACGCCAAAGAUAAAAAGAAAACCUUAAGGACAAUCAGAAGUUAAUUAGAGUUCAUUUAUUUUUAUUGUGCUUAUCACACAAUAAUGACAAACAGUAAAUUAAAUAAGGUGAAGCUGCUAUUCUGGAAGUCCAAAGAAGUGUUAGUUGUUGUUAGUCUGGCAAAAUUGGAAAGGAAAAACAAACUUUGAUGAACAACUACUAUGUACCAGAUGAUAAGUUAGAUUUUUAAAAAUGUAAUGCUAUCUAAUUUAAUUCUCAAGAAUUCUCCAGAUCAUAUUAACUACAUUUUAUUUUAAAAAUGAAAGCGAGUUUAAACAUAGACGUCUUGCCAAUCAUGCUAUCAAUAAAUCAAAAAGUCAGAAUUCCUAAGGAUUUGACUCUAAAUUACACUAAACAGAAUCAGCUCAGAACAGAACAAAACCACAUAGCUGUGCUACUAACCUGGUUGUGUAAUUUGAGAGAUGCCAUAUAGCUUGAGACUGUUUUCUCAUCUGUGAAAUGUGAUUUAAAAUAGUACUAACCUCAUAUGAUUGUUGUGAGAAAUAGUUAUCAUAUGUAGGUAAUAUACAAUUGGGCACAUACUGAAUAUUUUUAAAAUGCUAGCAAUUUGUGUUCAUUACAGCUAAUUAAUUAAUUACAGCUAACUAAUUACUAAAAGUUAAUUACACGAUAUUUGGCAGUCACUCGGUGUAGGAAGAUACCAUGUUUUAUUCAUCUUUUGUUCUCUAUAGCCUUAUGUAAUAGGAAUUUUAUUAACAUUGAGCAAAUUAUUAUAAAGUACAAUAAUUUAUAUUCACAGUAUUGACUACGGAACUGUAAAAGAAGGCUAGACUUUGAUAUUCUCUAAAAUUGGAAAAGCCCAAGUAAUCCAUUUAGGAAGUUCCCUAUCAAAAGUGAUUAACUUGCAAAAUUUGAAAGAAUAAACAAGAUUCUCAGGAAAAACUUUAUGAUGGAAUGGCAUCUUUCCUGAUGUUUAGGAUUCAAUGGCUAAGUACUUAUUGUACUCCAGAAGGAGAAAAAUAUGUCUGUUUCUCAGAAGUUGUUCCCUGGGUUAAAAAAAAAAAUAGACAUAAAUAUCUAUUAAAUGGGCUUGAUGGGUGUGCCAGGAAAAUGAUAAUGCAUUAAGAGAGGAUUACAACUUCAGCUUAUAGUUUCCUGAUGUACAGGGUGGAGACAAUGUUUUCUAAAUUUGUCUUCUCAAAAAAAUUUUAACCUAGGAUAUCGUUCUCCCUUCAAUCUAAUGUAGGAAUAAUCAAAUGAAAUGAAUAAAUGUAUGAAUAAUAAAAAUGAACACAAUCUUCAGAAUGCUUGCUUACCCUUAAAUCAGUCCAAUUAGUGCCUUUUCUUUGGAUUCCAGAUUGAAAAAUUUCCUCCCUCAGGAACUAUUGAAAAUUACUUCAGAUUAUAUCAGAGUUUAUAUACAUUUUGUCCCUCCUACAGCAACUGGAAUAAUGCCAGUACUUAAUAGGUUCCAAAGAAAUCUGUAUUAAGUGAUUUAAUUAGAUAACUUUGACAACUAAUAACGCUGUAUGCUGAUCGCCAACAACGGCAGGACCUAAAGAGCCCAGUACUUACAUGGAUCUCAUCAACAACAACCUUCAAUGAUAAGUAACUGCCAGGAGUCCUCAGGGUUCCUCCCAAGUGUCAGACAACUGUGCUGGCUCUUUAUGUAUUUUGUUUCCCAAACUUGCCUAAUGAUAAAAAUCAUCUAAGAUGUAUGUUAAAAAUGCAGUUCAGGCACCACAUGGAGAUUCUGAUUCUGUAAGUCUAAAUGGACUCAGGUAUACAGAUCUUUUAAAAGGAUGGUCCUUAUGAUUAGAUAAUCUUGGGGGGGGAGCUAUUUUAAUCCUCACAGCCAUCUCUGGAGGUAAAUGAGGUGAAUAUACUAAGAUUGAGCACCAUGUUGGGACACACUCAGGGUCACCCAUCUCAUGAACAACAGAACUGGGGUUCAAAAUUAGUUCUGCUUUCCCCAAAGCCUGAAUGUCUCCUGCCUAACUUUCUCAACCAAGACACGUGGAAGACUUUCAGGUUAUUGCUGUUUCUCAGUCUUGAGGAAGCCAUGAAUGCCCUUGAACUAGACCCUUGGAUAAAGUGAAGCUGGUUUCCAACCAACUUAACUGGGACCAAGAUGGAAUGAGUAGGCUGCGGCCAGAGCUGGUUUGGUUUAAACUCUGCUGCAGUCUGACAAGAAAAAAAAAUCAGCUGUGGGGGUUGGGGGGGGGGGUGUCUCUGCCUUUGCCCCUGAGUGCAAAGGCAAGGUCUUUUUUUCUGCCAAGGCAAGCAAAGGGCUUUGGAUUAUUGCUGUUCCUUCUUCCAUGAGGGCAACAGGCCAGGUAGCACUUCCAAAGGCAAUAGGUUUUUCUUAGUAAAGCCAUAAAGAUAGCUCUUCAUGUGCUCUCCUGAUAGAACCACCAUUGUACCUUUUGUGUUAUGCUAAGCUUGCUUCAGCUUUUCUGCAUGAGAACCUGUGUCUGCCCUCAGAUUUCUGAAUAAACAGUGUCAAUAUUUACCAAGAACUUUUGGGUGCAUAGAGAACACUGUGGGCAAAGCAGACCCAACUGUAAGGAUGCAGGGUCUCACAAACAUCAGGUUUGAGAGAAUAUGAGAGGAAAGGGCUACUCGAAACUCUGUCCUGCAAGCUUCCACUUUAUUUACCUUAUUUAUGUGUUUUUCUUCUGCACUUAACCUUGGGGCCCUUUGGAAUAGGGGUUUGUAUUUGGAUUUCUAAUGCACAAUAGGUUUAUACUACGAAUUUGUGAAAGAAUUUAACUAUCCAAUCUUAAUUUCAUUGGGUCUCAGUUUCUUUCUCCAAAAGAUGUAGGUGAUAAUAAGUGGCCACCUAUUUUGCAGAGUUGUUGUCCUAAGGAAAGGGGAUACGUGCGAGCAGCUCAUAAACUAAAACAUUAAUGGAUGCAAGGCAGGUGGAUUAUGUUCCAUCAUCAUCCUAUCCAUUGUAUGGUAUUUAUCACAGUGUCUGACCCAGAAUAAGUACUCGGUGUUCAACACCCUGGAGCUUAAUUUACCAUGAGCACAGUGGCACAGUGUUCAAUCUCACUGAAUUCUCACUUUAGCCCCAUAAAGUAUUGAUGAUAUUAUCAUGUCAUAGAUGAAAAAGCCUAGAGAACAAUGACUUUCCCCAGACCAUACACAGUGAGUUUAUGGAAGAGCUUGGACUGACCAUGUGGGUAUCAUUUCAAAGUCUUUAUCCCUAACCAUUAGUGAGCAAGAAUGGGGCUUGGAUUGACCAAAAGCCUAAAAGAGAAGGUAGGGUGGCGGGGGGGAAGAGGAUCAAAUACAGAGGACAGUAUCUCAGCUAAGAAAUACCAUUGUAUAGACAAUAUAGAGAAGAUGUCAAGUAAUAUUCCCAGGCAUAAAAUGUAUUUAAAUCUAAGAUACUUCCUUUAAAAUAAACAUUUACAACCUUAAUAUAGCCUCCUUAAGAAAACAAAAAGCAAGCAAACUCUGUAAUCAAUUCCUUCAACAAAUCUCACCAGCAAAGCAUGAUGAAUAUGUCGAAAGCUCUUGAAACUGUCAGCAUCUGCUUUGCUGGGGCCCAUCUCAUCUGAUCAUUUAUUUGACAGAGGAACAGCUCCAGCUUUUGCAGUUUUCCUUAAAUUGCUGAGGUUCCCCCCACCUCCAAUUAAAUCACCCAGUGACAGCAGCAAUUCUAUUAGGCUACUUUCUUAACUCGGUCAGAAGGCAGAAAGAUAACAAGGUAAGGCUUGCAACAAUAUAAAUCAUGUUAAGAACCAUCACUCAGUGGCUUCAGAUCCAAAUCAAAGCUAUGAAAUACAGGAUGACACUAGAUGUUGAAAUGAAAAAUACCAACCAUGUUUCUCUAAGGCUCAGGCAUUAAUACACAGCCACAUUUUAUGUAACAGUCUGCUUAGAGGAUUAGUAAAACAGAGGCUGCAAAACCUGGAAAUCCUCCUACCCACAUUAAGCUAAUUGAGUUGGAGACAUCCAAUUCAUCACAUUUGCAGCCUGAUUUAUAAGCAACUCACCCUGCCCUAGAGCAGAAAGUGAAACGUUAUGAGCUAGCGCUUCUUAUAAUGUGAAACCUCACAACUUGGAACCUGUCAAUAUCAUAAUGGUAUAGAGAGAAGGAAGAAUCCAAUUCAAGUGCAUGUCUAUGACCCUGAUGAAAAAAUAAAUAUCCAAUGCACAUUUUAUGACUGACAUUUCCAUAAAGAGU